rnacentral:rRNA from 1 species
GACCCCUCCGGUGUCGUAGCCAACGCGUUAAGUGUUCCGCCUGGGGAGUACGCACGCAAGUGUGAAACUCAAAGGAAUUGACGGGGGCCCGCACAAGCGGUGGAGUAUGUGGUUUAAUUCGAUGCAACGCGAAGAACCUUACCAGGAUUUGACAUCCUGCGAAUCUCUUGGAAACUUGAGAGUGCCUUCGGGAACGCAGUGACAGGUGGUGCAUGGCUGUCGUCAGCUCGUGUCGUGAGAUGUUGGGUUAAGUCCCGCAACGAGCGCAACCCACGUCUUUAGUUGCCAGCAUUUAGUUGGGCACUCUAGAGAGACCGCCGGUGAUAAACCGGAGGAAGGUGUGGAUGACGUCAAGUCAUCAUGCCCCUUACAUCCUGGGCUACACACGUACUACAAUGCUACGGACAAAGGGCAGCAAGUUCGCGAGGACAAGCAAAUCCCAUAAACCGUAGCUCGGUUCAGAUCGUAGGCUGCAACUCGCCUACGUGAAGGAGGAAUCGCUAGUAAUCGCAGGUCAGCAUACUGCGGUGAAUACGUUCCCGGGCCUUGUACACGCCGCCCGUCACACCAUGGAAGUUGGCCAUGCCCGAAGCCGUUACUCCAACCCUUGUGGAGGAGGACGUCGA